rnacentral:rRNA from 1 species
UACGUAGGGUGCAAGCGUUGUCCGGAAUUAUUGGGCGUAAAGAGCUCGUAGGCGGUCUGUCGCGUCUGCUGUGAAAACCCGGGGCUCAACCCCGGGCUUGCAGUGGAUACGGGCAGACUAGAGUUCGGUAGGGGAGACUGGAAUUCCUGGUGUAGCGGUGAAAUGCGCAGAUAUCAGGAGGAACACCGGUGGCGAAGGCGGGUCUCUGGGCCGAUACUGACGCUGAGGAGCGAAAGCGCGGGGAGCGAACAGG